AUGCGGGUUCCGCCAUGUCCCUAAUUCACCAGGGUGUGCGGCUCGCCGGCUACUCUCAUCCGGUUUUGACCACCGAUCGAAGCGGUGUACCAGGGUGAGGCCGCCGUUACAUGCGGACAGCUACUUGGAACCACAGAUAUUUACUCCUUUGCUCUACGCUUGUAAUAAAAAGGCAGAGCUGAGUGGAGGAGCAGAGUCAACUUCAGCAGACAUUGCAACGCUCUGAGAUAACCGAAAUGACGCAAAUGAAUCAAACGGGAACGUGUUGUUAUCUUUCCGAUACGAUUUCCAUCAUCUGCAGCUUUUUGCCUUUUGAUUCGGUGUAAAUGGGAGUUUAUUUCUUUGGAAUCCUCUGGAAGUGGAAUAGAAUGGAGUUUGCAGCUCAGUGGCCAAUAAAUUGGAAGGGCAGAUCACUCUCUGCAGACUACAUUAAUGUGCUCAGUAAACAAUCAAUGUCAAGAGCAGAGGAAGCAGAAUAUAACAACACAAUGGAAGUAUCCUAAUUGGUUGCAUCAUAGCCUGGAUGAUGCCUUGCCUGGCAACGGAAAUGGCUACAGGGUGGCUGGGGUUCUAUUGAGAGCUUUGAUCUACAGUGGCACUCAAAACUGUGGUUCUGCACAGCGGAGUAUUCCCGUUCUUGGAGCUGGCCAAUUGGCCAUGUAUCGUUAUGUCCAGGUUCGGUCUGCAGUCAGGUGACUUCGGGGCCAUGCGCUUCCAUGUGGACGUGAAUUCUCACCAGUGUUGCGAACUGAAGCGUAGCGGGAGCCGUACAUCAAAGACAGCUGUUGGACAGCUCUGCAUUCAGGAUCACAAGUUUUCUUUCUCUUUUGUCCUUCUCCCCACCUCCCCCUCUCCCCCUCCCUCCCAAUUCUCGAGUCGGAACUCAAAAUAAAAGGCAAUGGUUCAGACUGACUAACAUUGAAACAGCAAAUGUGGUCUCCUCUCUCGCCACAGAAGGAGUGACUUCUGCCUCUCAUUAGUGAGAGGGAGUGCCAGUGGGACGUUGAAAAUGUUGGACUGAACACUAAGUUUUGACACAUGGUAUUUGGGAGAGACCAAGGCUACAGGAGUGAACCCAGACAGCAAAUCCAGAGUUGAGCCUCAAGGCAGCUGGAUGUCCUUGAACAUCCUUCCGGCAGCUCCUGCAGCCAAACGUUGCUUCAUAAACUUUCCUUUGGACUACACUGCCGCGAGGGGAAUCUUGAUGACUGGGCAUCUCAGGAUCUCCAUAACUUCCACACAGGUGUGAUGAUAAGACCAUAAGAUAUAGGAGCAGGAGCAGACCAUUUGCCCAUUGAGUCUGCUCUGCCAUUCAAUCAAGGGCUGAUCCAAUUCUUCCAGUCAUCCCCACUCCCCUGCUUUCACCCCAUACCCUUUGAUGCCCUGGCUAAUCAAGAACCUAUCUACUUCUGCCUUAAAUACACCCAAUGACUUGGCCUCCACAGUCACUUGUGGCAACAAAUUCCACAGAUUUACCAUCCUCUGACUAAAGUAAUUUCUCUGCAUCUCUGUUAUCAAUGGACGUCCUUCAAUCCAGAAGUCAUGCCCUCUUGUCCUUGUCACAAUGGAGGCGUUGGGAAUGGACCCAAAUGCAAGACAUAGACACUGAAGUACAAGGAACAGGACUUGACUAGAGCAGGGACAUGACAGGAUACAGACAAGGAGCAGGGACAAGAAUGCAGACUUGGGCUUGGACCCCGAGCCAGAGACUGGACAAGGAUGCAGAACCUGGGUCUUGCCUUGGGCUCGGGCUCCAGAACCAGGCAUGGACAUGACAUGACUGCAGGCUGGGGUCCUGAGGCUUGAGGCUUGGAGACAGACUUGGGGGCUUGAGGCUUGGAGACAGGCUUGGGGGCUUGGGUCUUGAGUCUUGGAAUGCAGAGGCAGGAGCUUGGAGACAGACUGAGAACUGUACAUCAACAUAGAGCUGGGACUUAUCCUUCAAAAAGCCAGGACUCAUCUUUUAACGUGAGACAGGACAGUACAUAGACAUAUUGCCAGGACUUACACUUAGACAAGCUGGAACUCAACUUCAUCUCCACACCAAGGUGGGACAGGACCAUCUGUCGGGGAACGGCCGGACUUUCCCAACAGAGGCAAAGACAAGACAGGACAAGACAGGUCCCCCCGCAGGGCAACGGCAGAAUGGCCUGACUUACCCCACGGAGGCGAGGACAAGACAAGACAGAUCCCCCUUGCAGGGCAACGGCAGAACGGCCUGACUUACCCCACGGAGGCGAGGACAAGACAAGACAGAUCCCCCCUGCAGGGCAAUGGCAGAAUGGCCUGACUUACCCCACGGAGGCGAGGACAAGACAAGACAGAUCCCCCCUGCAGGGCAAUGGCAGAAUGGCCUGACUUACCCCACGGAGGCGAGGACAAGACAAGACAGAUCCCCCCUGCAGGGCAAUGGCAGAAUGGCCUGACUUACCCCACGGAGGCGAGGACAAGACAGGACAAGACAGGUCCCCCCGCAGGGCAACGGCAGAACGGCCCGACUUACCCCAUGGAGGCGAGGACAAGACAGGUCCCCCCCACAGGGCAACGGCACAAUGGCCUGACUUACCACAUGGAGGUGAGGACAAGAAGAGACAAACACCAAAGAACGACAGACAGUUCCAUCUCUGCACUGGCGAUUGAACUCGACAGUAGUGCAGGCGAGGUAUCCAGGCAGAGAGUCGGGCGAGGGGAGAAAAGACAUGGAGGGAAACAGGACAGUCCAGCAGGUAUGCGGAGGUAUUUAUGUCUCAGCCCCAAAACGAGAAUCAUGUGCCCACAAGAGAGAGAGAGUGGGGAAAACCAGAAAUCCCGGAACAAGGAACCAUGGACCAGACCGUGAAUCGGAACACGGAUUCACGGACCGGACCAUGACAGUUCUAGACUCCCCUACCAUGGGAAAUAACCUCACCAUAUCUAAUUUGUUCAGUCCUUUUAACGUUAGGAAUGUUUCUAUGAGAUCCCCCUCAUUCUCCUGAACUCCAGGGAAUACAGCCCAAGAGCUGCCAGGUGUUCCUCGUAUGGGAAUCCUUUCAUUCCUGGAAUCAUUCUUGUAAAUCUUUUCUGAACUCUCUCCAAUGUCAGUAUACCCUUUCUAAAAUAAGGAGCCCAAAACUGCACACAAUACUCCAAGUUUGGUCUUGCGCAUACCUUACAGAGCCUCAACAUCACAUCCCUGCUCUUAUAUUCCAUACCUCUAGAAAUGAAUGCCGACAUUGCAUUGGCCUUCUUCACCAUCAACUCAACCUGAAGGUUAAUCUUUAGGGUAUCCUGCACAAGGACUCCAAAGUCUCUUUGCAUCUCUGCAUUUUGAAUUCUCUCCCUAUCUAAAUAAUAGUCUGCCUAUUUAUUUCUUCAACCAAAGUGCAUAACCAUACACUUUCUAACAUUGUAUUUUUUAUUUGCCACUUCCUUGCUCAUUCCCCUAAACUAUCUAAGUCUCUCUGCAGGCUCUCUGUUUCCUCAACAUUAUCUGCUCCUCCACCUAUCUUUGUAUCAUCGGUAAAUUUAGCCACAAAUCCAUUAAUCCCAUAGUCCAAAUCAUUGACAUACAUCGUAAAAAGCAGCGGUCCCAACACCGACCCCUGUGGAACUCCACUGGUAACCGGCAGCCAGCCAGAAUAGGAUCCCUUUAUUCCCACUCUCUGUUUUCUGCCGAUUGGCCAAUGCUCCACCUAUGCUAGUAACUUCCCUGUGAUUCCAUGGGCUCUUAUCUUGCUAAGCAGCCUCAUGUGCGGCACCUUGUCAAAGGCCUUCUGAAAAUCCAAGUACACCACAUCUACUGCAUCUCCUUUGUCUACACUGCAUGAAAUUUCCUCAAAAAAUUGCAUUAGGUUAGUCAGGCAAGAAUUUCCUUUCAGGAAACCAUGUUGGCUUUAGCUUGUCUUGUCAUGUGCCCCCAGGUAUUCCAUAAUCUCAUCCCAACAAUCAAUUCCAACAACUUCCCAACCACUGAUGUCAGGCUAACAGGUCUAUAGUUUCCUUUCUGCUGCCUCCCACCCUUCCUAAAUAGCAGAUUAACAUUUGUAAUUUUCCAGUCAUCCGGUAAAAUGCCAAAAUCUAUUGAUUCUUGAAAGAUCAUUGUUAAUGCCUCCGCAUUCUCUCCAGCUACUUCCUUCAGAACCCAAGGGUGCAUUCCAUCAGGUCCAGGAGAUUUAUCCACCCUCAGACCAUUAAGCUUCUCAGUCGCAAUUUUCACUGCACAAUCUUCACUUUUCUGACACUCUUGAAUGUCCGGUAUACUGCAGAUGUCUUCCACUGUGAAGACUGAUGCAAAAUACGCAUUCAGUUCCUCUGCCAUCUCUGCAUCUCUCAUUACAAUAUUUCAAGCAUCAUUUUCUAUUGGUCCUAUAUCUACCCUCAACUCUUCUUUUACCCUUUAUAUACUUAAAAAGACUUUCAGUAUCUUCUUUGAUAUUAGUCGCCAGCUUCCUUUAAUAAUUCAUCUUUUUCUUCCUAAUGAACUUAGUUUCCUUCUGCAAGUUUUUAAAAGCUUCCCAAUCCUCUAUCUUCCCACUAACUUUAGCUUCCU